AAGUUUCUAUCAUAUUAUUAUUUAGGAUUUUUUUAUUUUUUUUCUUUUGUGUGAUUGGAAGUGAUUGUGUCAAAGACAUGAAUCUCGAAGAAGGAAAAUCCUCAAUACACUCUUGUAUCAAUCUUCAAAUCACUAAAGAGAAUUAAAAAGUCAUUCAAAAGGUGAUAUAAUAUUAAACUAGAAUGGCUAUUGCCAAAAACAAGAACACUGGAAAGACUUGAAACAAGACUAAGGACUAAAAAGGUCUUGACAAGAGUGAAGAAGGCUUCACUCUUGCCUCCAUAUAUAAUUUUAACUAAGAUGUACAUGGUAAUGUCCUAUAGGACCUCCAAAACGUGUUGACUUUGUUAGCCACAUGUCUUAACUAGUAAGGCAAGGUAUUUAUGUGUGCACCACAUAGUUAGCUUAUUCCACAAGCUAUC
rnacentral:lncRNA from 1 species